UUGGCUCUGUGUGCCUUUUUUACAUUGGGCAUCUCACCGCCGAAACCUCUCUUGCAAUCCCGCCCCCCUUCCCCAGUGAUGACACUUGGCGUAGUCAGCAAGAUGAGGCGAGUGCCCCUUCUGUCCCAGUGGAGGAGCAGCUCCGGGUGGAAGGGAUGUGGCCCCUGACAGCUUUUUGGUACGGCGGUUGUGGUGUACCUCCUCACCUGGACUCCGCUGGAGGAUUGGGAUGCUGUGCGCCCUCGACCAGAGGACGUCCGGAAAGCCCUGGAGACAUUAGAGCCGAAUGCCCUGUUGGCACACCGGGAGGCAGCUGGCCGAGUGGCCUGGAUGUUCCUAGCAGUCUUACGGCAUGCUAGUCGUGACAAUCAAGAGUACACAGGCCUGGUGCAGCAGUUACAAUGUCGGGAAGAGGACCUGGAGCAAUGCCUGGCGGCGGUGUCCUCCGGGGCUAGCAGCCUAGUGGGGUUGGUAUGGCAUGCCCAACCCAUGGUGCGACAGAGAGUAGAGGUCGAAGAGCCCCUAGCCCUAGGGGGUGGGGCUACCAGGCCAAGGCAAUAUACCUGGCACGUCUCUUACACCACGUAUUUGGCCAUGAAGUUGUGACAGCUAGCCAAGCAAUGCAAACAGCGUUUGGGUACUGGACACUCCAGCCAGCAGGGGCUGAGUUACGGGUGGUCCAGAUGGUCCUCACGGAGGAGCCUGGCCCAGUACGUGUUUGCACUGAUAGCUGGGCUGUGUUUUGAGGCCUAAUGCUAUGGCUUGCCCGGUGGGCAACCUAAGACUGGUUAAUUGGCCACCACCCACUAUGGGGAAGAGACCUUUGAGAGGAUGUUUGGAGCAGUGAACGAGACUGGUUACCCACAGGAAACAGCAUGCUAUCCUGGGUGCACACCUUUGCCCGGGUGCACAACGCCUCACGUUGCUGGGUGUGCAUGGAAUUGCCAUCAGAAACCACUGAAAGACUGCCAUGGUGAGUUGCCCCUGCCACCGGUGCCAACUGGACAGACCUCCAGCGUUGGGACCGAGACAGUCCGAAGGGAAAUGCUCGCCAUCGUGCUGUUGAAGCCACCUUAUGGAAACACCACCACAGUGCCCCUCCUCUCUUCAGCCAGCUUGUGGACAAUGCCUGGGGAUGGUUGGUGGGGAUUCAUGUAGAAUUGUCUUACUGUGCCCCUCUGUGUAUUGAGCAAUGAUACCCCGUGGUCCUAAAUCACAUGGUGGGCUGGUUUCCCAAGAAACUGUCUAAACAUUACUGUGGUGACAGACCCUAUCUGCUGGUGGGAUGGGCAACGUGUAGUGGGAACGAAACCCACUGACUUCCUCCCAGGCGAUGCUCUCUGGGUCUGUGGUCUAUAUGGGUGGCCAUACCUACAGGCCCAGUGGAUGGGCUAAUGUACAUGGGGGUGCCCCUUUAUUCAAGGUCAUCUCCUACCCACAUUGCCCCAAAGACCAGCCAACUGGGACCCUGUUUACCAUCGUUGGCACCGAGAAAAAUGGGUUGCCUGUGGAUUUACCCUUUAGCCAUCCUCUUUUCAGGGGGUGGCUUGAUACAUGUGGAACUACAAGUAGAAGCCUUGGCCCAACAUGUCACACAGAUGUUGAACGUCACGCGAGUGUCUUUAGCCAUUUUUCUUGACAAGACAACCCAAAUGAGAAAAGUGGUGAUGCAGAACAGGAUGGCUCUAGACCUGCUAAUGGCCAUGCAGGGGGGGACAUAUGCUCUGUUACAUGUUGAAUGCUGUGUUUCCAUUUCGGACCAUCAACAAAAGGUACAGAAAGCCUUACAGGAGAUGGAUGCCGAAGUCUCAGCAAUCCAAACCCUACAAAAUGAUCCCUUAAAACGUUGAUGGAACUCCCUAGGCCCUUCUUGGAGGUGGGCAGAUCUCAUUCUGGCAGGUAUCGCCAAUAGCCUCAUGGUCAUCUGUUGCUCCAUGUAUUGCUGUUGCUGCCUCUGCUCACAGGGACACACUCUCUUGGUCAAGUCCUGGGACACCAUCCUGCAGGGAGUGGACUGACGGGGCCCGGGCAUGUCCAGGUUUGUACAGGCUGGUGUUUGGGACAUGACCGCGGAGCUUGCUGCGCAGGCACCUUGGCUGCAGUUACAUAAGCCCUUAUGUAACUUAUGUAAGCAUGACUUGCAGUUGCAGGAGGGAGCAUGUGCUAACUGCUUUCCCUGCCCAAAAGCAUCCCUCCCUUAAGGCACUAUA